GAUAAACGCUGGCGGCGUGCCUAAUACAUGCAAGUCGAGCGAGCGGACGAGAAGCUUGCUUCUCUGAUGUUAGCGGCGGACGGGUGAGUAACACGUGGAUAACCUACCUAUAAGACUGGGAUAACUUCGGGAAACCGGAGCUAAUACCGGAUAAUAUUUUGAACCGCAUGGUUCAAAAGUGAAAGACGGUCUUGCUGUCACUUAUAGAUGGAUCCGCGCUGCAUUAGCUAGUUGGUAAGGUAACGGCUUACCAAGGCAACGAUGCAUAGCCGACCUGAGAGGGUGAUCGGCCACACUGGAACUGAGACACGGUCCAGACUCCUACGGGAGGCAGCAGUAGGGAAUCUUCCGCAAUGGGCGAAAGCCUGACGGAGCAACGCCGCGUGAGUGAUGAAGGUCUUCGGAUCGUAAAACUCUGUUAUUAGGGAAGAACAUAUGUGUAAGUAACUGUGCACAUCUUGACGGUACCUAAUCAGAAAGCCACGGCUAACUACGUGCCAGCAGCCGCGGUAAUACGUAGGUGGCAAGCGUUAUCCGGAAUUAUUGGGCGUAAAGCGCGCGUAGGCGGUUUUUUAAGUCUGAUGUGAAAGCCCACGGCUCAACCGUGGAGGGUCAUUGGAAACUGGAAAACUUGAGUGCAGAAGAGGAAAGUGGAAUUCCAUGUGUAGCGGUGAAAUGCGCAGAGAUAUGGAGGAACACCAGUGGCGAAGGCGACUUUCUGGUCUGUAACUGACGCUGAUGUGCGAAAGCGUGGGGAUCAAACAGGAUUAGAUACCCUGGUAGUCCACGCCGUAAACGAUGAGUGCUAAGUGUUAGGGGGUUUCCGCCCCUUAGUGCUGCAGCUAACGCAUUAAGAACUCCGCCUGGGGAGUACGACCGCAAGGUUGAAACUCAAAGGAAUUGACGGGGACCCGCACAAGCGGUGGAGCAUGUGGUUUAAUUCGAAGCAACGCGAAGAACCUUACCAAAUCUUGACAUCCUUUGACAACUCUAGAGAUAGAGCCUUCCCCUUCGGGGGACAAAGUGACAGGUGGUGCAUGGUUGUCGUCAGCUCGUGUCGUGAGAUGUUGGGUUAAGUCCCGCAACGAGCGCAACCCUUAAGCUUAGUUGCCAUCAUUAAGUUGGGCACUCUAAGUUGACUGCCGGUGACAAACCGGAGGAAGGUGGGGAUGACGUCAAAUCAUCAUGCCCCUUAUGAUUUGGGCUACACACGUGCUACAAUGGACAAUACAAAGGGCAGCGAAACCGCGAGGUCAAGCAAAUCCCAUAAAGUUGUUCUCAGUUCGGAUUGUAGUCUGCAACUCGACUACAUGAAGCUGGAAUCGCUAGUAAUCGUAGAUCAGCAUGCUACGGUGAAUACGUUCCCGGGUCU
rnacentral:rRNA from 1 species